AGUGGAGUUGGGCAGCGACAAUAAAGACGAUGUCGACGGCAACGGCAACGGUAACGCUAUAAAUAACGGUGUUCUCUGGGUCGUCGUCUUCGUCAACUGGAUGAGAGAGCAGAGAGAACCAUGGAAGCUCUGCUUAGGCUUCGAGUAGGCCUAGUGUUCUUUCUCCUCGCCGGAGUUUCAGAUCGUCGAUGUCGAAAGCAGAAAUUGGAAAUAGAGCCACAGUAUGCUUUAUUUGGGGGGUUUAAAAGCCACUUUUGUCACUGGAUAUGGAAUACAAUUGCAAGACUUCCUCUUGUUGAGACAGUGGCAGACGAGUUGACCAUCAAAGUGGGUACAUAUUUUUUCUGAAAAAUACUUCCUACCCCACUAGGAGGGUCGAUCCCCAAUGAGGUGUCACUCCGAGAUUGGCCUAAAAUAUAUAUAUAUAUAUAUAUUUUUUUUUUGAGUUUUUAGCCAGUGAAGGUGCACCACGUCACUGGAGGCGCGACCCCACUGAGGGUAUGCAGCGGGACUGAUUUUUUCUACUUUCUAUUUAUUCCACUUGAGUUUCUCUAUGUUGGACAUUUCCCUAGAAUGAAACAUCAUAUAAAUACUAAAAAAGGAAUUGUUGCUUUUAGGUGGUGUUGCCAGAGGGAUUAAAAAGGGAGAAUUCACUACAACAAAAAGCAUCAAUGGCGACUAAAAAAAUGAAUUUCGUCGCUGAAAGUUGCACAAAUGGCGACUAAAUCCAUUUUAGUCGCCAAAAAUGAAGACUUUUGGCGACUAAAACCAUUUAGUAGCCAAAUGUAUAUGUAUUGGCGACUAAAAAUUAGUUUGGUCGCCUAUUAUAUGGGUUUCAGCGACUAACACAAUUUUCGUCGCCAAAAGUGAUGGUUUUUGCCGACUAAAACAAUUUAGUAGCCAAAGGUUCUGGUUUUGGCAACUAAAAAGCAGAUUGGUCGCCGAUUGUAGGUGUUUUUGGCGACUAAAA